rnacentral:rRNA from 1 species
UACAGAGGGUGCGAGCGUUGUCCGGAAUCAUUGGGUUUAAAGGGCGUGUAGGCGGGUUGGUAAGUCCGUUGUGAAAUCUCCAAGCUUAACUUGGAAACUGCCGUGGAUACUAUCAAUCUUGAAUAUAGUGGAGGUGAGCGGAAUAUGUCAUGUAGCGGUGAAAUGCUUAGAUAUGACAUAGAACACCCAUUGCGAAGGCAGCUCGCUGCACUAUUAUUGACGCUGAGGCACGAAAGCGUGGGGAUCAAACAGG